GACGAGGGACCCUAGCGUUGUUCGGAAUCAUUGGGCGUAAAGCGGGUGCAGGCUGCUCUAUAAGUCAAGUGUGAAAUCCCAAGGCUCAACUUUGGAAGUGCAUUUGAUACUGUAGAGCUUGAGUGCUGGAGAGGUUGCUAGAAUUCCAGGUGUAGUGGUGAAAUACGUAGAUAUCUGGAGGAACACCGGAGGCGAAGGCGGGCAACUGGCCAGACACUGACGCUCAUACCCGAAAGCGUGGGGAUCAAACAGG
rnacentral:rRNA from 1 species